rnacentral:rRNA from 1 species
UACGUAGGGGGCCAGCGUUGUCCGGAAUCAUUGGGCGUAAAGCGCGCGUAGGCGGCCAGAUAAGUCCGGUGUGAAAGUCACAGGCUCAACCUGUGAAUGCCGCUGGAAACUGUCUGGCUAGAGUCCGGGAGGGGCGAGUGGAAUUCCUGGUGUAGCGGUGAAAUGCGCAGAUAUCAGGAGGAACACCAAUUGCGAAGGCAGCUCGCUGGGACGUUACUGACGCUGAGACGCGAAAGCGUGGGGAGCAAACAGG